UAUUGCACAAUGGGCGCAAGCCUGAUGCAGCGACGCCGCGUGAGGGAUGACGGCCUUCGGGUUGUAAACCUCUUUCAGCAGGGAAGAAGCGCAAGUGACGGUACCCGCAGAAGAAGCGCCGGCUAACUACGUGCCAGCAGCCGCGGUAAUACGUAGGGCGCAAGCGUUGUCCGGAAUUAUUGGGCGUAAAGAGCUCGUAGGCGGCUUGUCGCGUCGGUUGUGAAAGCCCGGGGCUUAACUCCGGGUCUGCAGUCGAUACGGGCAGGCUAGAGUUCGGUAGGGGAGAUCGGAAUUCCUGGUGUAGCGGUGAAAUGCGCAGAUAUCAGGAGGAACACCGGUGGCGAAGGCGGAUCUCUGGGCCGAUACUGACGCUGAGGAGCGAAAGCGUGGGGAGCGAACAG
rnacentral:rRNA from 1 species